rnacentral:rRNA from 1 species
UACGAAGGGGGCUAGCGUUGCUCGGAAUCACUGGGCGUAAAGCGCACGUAGGCGGCUUUCUAAGUCAGGGGUGAAAUCCUGGAGCUCAACUCCAGAACUGCCUUUGAUACUGGAGAGCUCGAGUCCGGAAGAGGUGAGUGGAACUCCGAGUGUAGAGGUGAAAUUCGUAGAUAUUCGGAAGAACACCAGUGGCGAAGGCGGCUCACUGGCCCGGUACUGACGCUGAGGUGCGAAAGCGUGGGGAUCAAACAGG